rnacentral:rRNA from 1 species
AAGUCGUAACAAGGUUUCCGUAGGUGAACCUGCGGAAGGAUCAUUAAGAGUUUAAGCGACGGCCUAAACCGCCUCGUCUUUUCUUUUAACCACUGUGAAAACACCCGUUGCUUCGGCGGCGUCCCCUCGGGGUGCCAGUCUGCCGGCGGCACACAACCAAACCAUUCUUCUGUAACUGUCGUCUGUAUGUUAACGCAAAAUACGUUAAAACUUUCAACAACGGAUCUCUUGGUUCUCGCAUCGAUGAAGAACGCAGCGAAACGCGAUAGGUAAUGUGAAUUGCAGAAUUCAGUGAAUCAUCGAAUCUUUGAACGCACAUUGCGCCUUUUGGUAUUCCGAGAGGCACGUCUGUUUGAGCGUCAGUACGCACCUCUGCAUCGGCUUUGCUGACUGCGGGUCCUGGGGCGGGUCGCGAGGCCUCCCUUAAUGCGCACGCUUGCGGGCUUCCACAGAAUGUCAACGUAGUAAACUAAACGCUCGCUGAUUGACUGGAGGAUGGCACGCCUGACUUCAAAUCUUUAAGGUUUGACCUCAGAUCAGACGAGGAUACCCGCUGAACUUAA